AAUAGAUGACACCAUUGACUUUUUCUCACAUGUUUGACCAUUCGUUUUAUUCAAAAAAUUUACGUAAUUAUAAUUUAUUUUGUUAUGAGUAGUACUUUAAGUGUCAUUUAUAUCUUCUACAUUUGCAUAAAAUUUUUGAAUAAGACGAAUGGUCAAACAUGUGAGAAAAAGUCAACGGCGUCAUCUAUU
rnacentral:pre_miRNA from 1 species